rnacentral:rRNA from 1 species
UAGCGGCGGACGGGUGAGUAACACGUGGGUAACCUACCUGUAAGACUGGGAUAACUCCGGGAAACCGGAGCUAAUACCGGAUAGUUCCUUGAACCGCAUGGUUCAAGGAUGAAAGACGGUUUCGGCUGUCACUUACAGAUGGACCCGCGGCGCAUUAGCUAGUUGGUGAGGUAACGGCUCACCAAGGCGACGAUGCGUAGCCGACCUGAGAGGGUGAUCGGCCACACUGGGACUGAGACACGGCCCAGACUCCUACGGGAGGCAGCAGUAGGGAAUCUUCCGCAAUGGACGAAAGUCUGACGGAGCAACGCCGCGUGAGUGAUGAAGGUUUUCGGAUCGUAAAGCUCUGUUGUUAGGGAAGAACAAGUGCAAGAGUAACUGCUUGCACCUUGACGGUACCUAACCAGAAAGCCACGGCUAACUACGUGCCAGCAGCCGCGGUAAUACGUAGGUGGCAAGCGUUGUCCGGAAUUAUUGGGCGUAAAGCGGCUCGCAGGCGGUUUCUUAAGUCUGAUGUGAAAGCCCCCGGCUCAACCGGGGAGGGUCAUUGGAAACUGGGAAACUUGAGUGCAGAAGAGGAGAGUGGAAUUCCACGUGUAGCGGUGAAAUGCGUAGAGAUGUGGAGGAACACCAGUGGCGAAGGCGACUCUCUGGUCUGUAACUGACGCUGAGGAGCGAAAGCGUGGGGAGCGAACAGGAUUAGAUACCCUGGUAGUCCACGCCGUAAACGAUGAGUGCUAAGUGUUAGGGGGUUUCCGCCCCUUAGUGCUGCAGCUAACGCAUUAAGCACUCCGCCUGGGGAGUACGGUCGCAAGACUGAAACUCAAAGGAAUUGACGGGGGCCCGCACAAGCGGUGGAGCAUGUGGCUUAAUUCGAAGCAACGCGAAGAACCUUACCAGGUCUUGACAUCCUCUGACAACCCUAGAGAUAGGGCUUUCCCUUCGGGGACAGAGUGACAGGUGGUGCAUGGUUGUCGUCAGCUCGUGUCGUGAGAUGUUGGGUUAAGUCCCGCAACGAGCGCAACCCUUGAUCUUAGUUGCCAGCAUUUAGUUGGGCACUCUUAAGGUGACUGCCGGUGACAAACCGGAGGAAGGUGGGGAUGACGUCAAAUCAUCAUGCCCCUUAUGACCUGGGCUACACACGUGCUACAAUGGACAGAACAAAGGGCUGCGAGACCGCAAGGUUUAGCCAAUCCCACAAAUCUGUUCUCAGUUCGGAUCGCAGUCUGCAACUCGACUGCGUGAAGCUGGAAUCGCUAGUAAUCGCGGAUCAGCAUGCCGCGGUGAAUACGUUCCCGGGCCUUGUACACACCGCCCGUCACACCACGAGAGUUUGCAACACCCGAAGUCGGUGAGGUAACCUUUAUGGAGCCAGCCGCCGAAGGUGGGGCAGAUGAUUGGGGUGAAGUCGUAACAAGGUAACCGUA